GGUGCAACCACUCUCAGCCACCUUCUCCCAGGCUGGAGAUGCACCAUGGGACGUAGGGCAGAUACUUCAGUCUCUGCCUUCACACCUCUUAGAGAAUCGGUGUAAAGAGCCCAACGUGCCCACUGCGGGACAGGCCACACAGGUGUCUCCUGGCCCUCUUCACAUCACUCUGCUGGAAUUGGGACUCGGAACCAACACAAGGCAAUGCGGACACUCUGGCUGCUGUGAAUGGCAAGGCCAUUUGUCCCAGUCCCAGGAGACUGUUCUGCCAGCAUCCAGGACACUGGCAGGCUAACCCAUUAACUCACAAGUAGGGGGAAAUCUCAGACUCACCACAGCUCCUACCAGCAUCGUAGGUGUCCCCAGGAACACGGCUUUCCCCCUGGGCUCAGGCCAUGUCUGCUGAGGCUGGCUGGGUCAUAAAAGCCUCAAGAAUCACACUAGAAACCCCCUCAGGUAGAAGCUGGUGGCGAAACAGACCGUAGCAGCAGGUGCAUUUCCCCCUUGAUCCCCGGGCAGAGCACCAUGACUGUGGCUUCGGGGAGAGGAUGCUGGCUUAAGACCCACUACCUGCUCUUCGGCAACUUUCUAAGGCUUCUUUGCAGCUUCCAGGGGAAGAAAGGGAAGACGCACAGGCUUUGUUCUCCUGGGACAGCUCAUGAGAACGGGCCACUGCUAGAGGAUGUGAGAAUACCUCUAUGUAACAGUCUGGCGCAUGGAUAUCAUCCCUCCUGGCCACCAGCUCCCAGCGGCUGUCCCCUCACCAGUCCACCGCCAGGCCAUGAGGCCCCCGAGGUCAGCACUCUCUCUGCUGAGGCUAUCUGCCCACUCUCGAGCACAGGCUCAACCCCUGGAUUCUGCUGCUCAACUAACUAAAAAUGAAAACUAUCAGUCUGCCGACUGUGAGAAAUGGAAUCGGGAAGAUGGGGACCAGAGGCCCUGGGGAUGCUUCCUGGAUACAGCACUGACCACUCAGCUCCAUCUGGAAAUCCCAAGGCUAAAGCUUCAGGAGCAGGAACAGCUGGGAGGGCACACGGCCCUUACCAUCUCAGCCCUAAGCCCCUUCACAGCCACACACAGAAUGAAGCCCCAGGACACGCCUUAGCUACCUAACACUCUGACUGCUUUAGACCAGCCCCCAGGAGAGGCCAGUAGUCAACACCUAGACCAAUCUCAAGUGGCUGCGAUGUGCAGCUUCUGGGCAUCUCCACGACCAACCCGUUAGCCCAGGACUUCAGCAUCCAGCCCAGCUUUGCUCCUCCGACUCCCCUGCACCCUGAGCUCCCCCAACUCCCCUGCACCACUGCGGCUGCAGACGCCUGCACUCUACCCUCUAGUGGCCACAGUGGGAACAGCAGGAAGCCGAAUCUGGCCGUUGUCCUCAAGGGGAACCGAGAUGCACAAGGUCACUAGCUGGACUGUCCUUUCUCUUCCUCCCAUCUUUUUGUGGAUGGUUGUAAAUCUUUUACAGUGAUGCAAAAGCCUAAGCCACGUUUCUACCACCAUUUAAAUUGUUACUUCAGUCAAAA